GACGAACGCUGGCGGCGUGCUUAACACAUGCAAGUCGAACGGAAAGGCCCUGCUUUUGUGGGGUGCUCGAGUGGCGAACGGGUGAGUAACACGUGAGUAACCUGCCCUUGACUUUGGGAUAACUUCAGGAAACUGGGGCUAAUACCGGAUAGGAGCUCCUGCUGCAUGGUGGGGGUUGGAAAGUUUCGGCGGUUGGGGAUGGACUCGCGGCUUAUCAGCUUGUUGGUGGGGUAGUGGCUUACCAAGGCUUUGACGGGUAGCCGGCCUGAGAGGGUGACCGGCCACAUUGGGACUGAGAUACGGCCCAGACUCCUACGGGAGGCAGCAGUGGGGAAUAUUGCACAAUGGGCGGAAGCCUGAUGCAGCAACGCCGCGUGCGGGAUGACGGCCUUCGGGUUGUAAACCGCUUUCGCCUGUGACGAAGCGUGAGUGACGGUAAUGGGUAAAGAAGCACCGGCUAACUACGUGCCAGCAGCCGCGGUGAUACGUAGGGUGCGAGCGUUGUCCGGAUUUAUUGGGCGUAAAGGGCUCGUAGGUGGUUGAUCGCGUCGGAAGUGUAAUCUUGGGGCUUAACCCUGAGCGUGCUUUCGAUACGGGUUGACUUGAGGAAGGUAGGGGAGAAUGGAAUUCCUGGUGGAGCGGUGGAAUGCGCAGAUAUCAGGAGGAACACCAGUGGCGAAGGCGGUUCUCUGGGCCUUUCCUGACGAUGAGGAGCGAAAGCGUGGGGAGCGAACAGGCUUAGAUACCCUGGUAGUCCACGCUGUAAACGGUGGGUACUAGGUGUGGGGUCCAUUCCACGGGUUCCGUGCCGUAGCUAACGCUUUAAGUACCCCGCCUGGGGAGUACGGCCGCAAGGCUAAAACUCAAAGGAAUUGACGGGGCCCCGCACAAGCGGCGGAGCAUGCGGAUUAAUUCGAUGCAACGCGUAGAACCUUACCUGGGUUUGACAUGGAUCGGGAGUGCUCAGAGAUGGGUGUGCCUCUUUUGGGGUCGGUUCACAGGUGGUGCAUGGCUGUCGUCAGCUCGUGUCGUGAGAUGUUGGGUUAAGUCCCGCAACGAGCGCAACCCUUGUUCACUGUUGCCAGCACGUUAUGGUGGGGACUCAGUGGAGACCGCCGGGGUCAACUCGGAGGAAGGUGGGGAUGACGUCAAGUCAUCAUGCCCCUUAUGUCCAGGGCUUCACGCAUGCUACAAUGGCUGGUACAGAGAGUGGCGAGCCUGUGAGGGUGAGCGAAUCUCGGAAAGCCGGUCUCAGUUCGGAUUGGGGUCUGCAACUCGACCUCAUGAAGUCGGAGUCGCUAGUAAUCGCAGAUCAGCAACGCUGCGGUGAAUACGUUCCCGGG
rnacentral:rRNA from 1 species